CCCAAGUCCCAAAACCUAAACUACCCCUGUUGAAGCGCCCCCCCAUAACAACUUCAGAUGUCCUAUGCACAAAAUUUUCUCUCUCCCUCCGGACGACAGAAAUUUCCUCCUUGGGGGGAGUGUGGAUAUUUGCUGCAACAACCCAAUGGGGCAUAUUGGCAUAUAUUCAGUUAUUUUACUGUAUUGUUAAUUGUUCUUCUCAACGGAACAGCAGUAAACGUGAUUAUAGAAAAGCAAUUUCGUGGCACCCUCCUGGGAAAUAGAUUUUCUGCAGUUCAAAUUUCAUUGAACCAUAGAUGCUUAAUUACCACAAAAAGUUCCCAAGGAAAAAACGUGCCCAACACCGAGAAAAUGGGUGAUCAGUGAUUAUCCUCUAUUAAAUUGUAUUACAGCAAGAAAAUGUAAAAUUUUGUAUUCAAUUACAACAAAAAUGACUUGCAUUAUCAGAAAGCUUACAAAAACCUACAUAUAAGACAUUUAAACAGAGUUUUUUAUAUCUAUAAUUGUUUUCGAGUUAUACGCUUUUCAAAACACGUUUUUGACCUAGUACCCAGGCCUUAUUGCGACAUUUUGGUCCAAUUUUCACAUUUGAAACAGCAAUAACUCAAAUACUGAUAUUUUCUGUGUUGGUGCAAUGUACUCAGGUGAAUAAGAUGCUUGUGAUGUUACUCUGAGUGUAUAUCCACACCGGGCAAGCUUGAAAAAUAUGCCUGACCACGGUGGAAAUCGAACCUACGAAAAUAUCAUUACGAAAAUAUCAUUAUUACUAGAUUAAAUUGAUAUCGAAGGAACUAGAUUCUGUUCCGAAAUAUCACAUGCUCGAACCGACCAGACCGCGUAGCUCAGUUGGUAGAGCAUUGCCAUUGGGCUAGUAUUCCAAAGGUCGUAGGUUCGAUUUCCACCGUGGUCAGGCAUAUUUUUCAAGCUUGCCCGGUGUGGAUAUACACUCAGAGUAACAUCACAAGCAUCCAACUCAAAUACUAUUUGAAAAAUGAAAAAACUGUUUAAAAGUCUUAUAUGCGGUUUUUUGUACGUUUUCCGAUGAUGCAAGUCAUUUUUAUUGUAAUUGAAUACAGAAUUUCCCAUUUUUUUGCUGUAAUACAAUUUAAUAGAGGAUAAUCAUUGAUCACCCAUUUUCUCGGGAUUGGGCAACUUUUUUGCUUGGGAACUUUUUUUGGUAGUGAUGUACCUAUAUGCCUUUCAAAUAAACCCCAAACCAAGUAUUUCCCACAUGGGUGCCACGAAGCGAAAUAAUUUUGGCCAACAGCCCACGGCCUACUGGCAAAUUUAAAACUCAAGGUGUACUUAGACUGUUGAGUGAAGUACAUAAAUUACAGAUUUCUGCAAGGUAUUUAUUCAGUAACCUGAAACUACCAGUUAGAAAAAGGAGCACAAUAGACCUUACCGAUUAUCCUCUUUUACCCCCAAUUGUCUUGUUUCCAUGUUAACUUAUUUUAGCAUGUCAGGGGCAGAUAAAGAUUAUAUCCCCAUGUUUUCCUGGACGAAUUUGUUUCUUGCUGUUCUUAGGCCCAAUAACAAAGUAAUUUUCAACCCUACUAAGCACAAAACAUGAGUAAGUAUUUGACAUGAAAACGAGGCCAUUGGGUAAGAGAGAAUAAUCGGUAAGGUCUAUUGUACAAACACUACAAUCGACUCUAACAUCAAUUCGUCUCAUCAGUCCAAUCAGAUUUCAUGUACCUUGGGUUUGGAAAUGUCAAAUGGUACCAGCAAAGUGAGAGUAUCGCGUACCUAUACGGCUACGUGGUACUUAGCUGAAAAUAAAGAAGCACUAGACCGUAAUAUUGGCGUACCUCCGGUACGUAAGUACACGAUUUAUUGCACCCUGUCCAUUAGUAUACAUGAAUUGAAACAAUUUUGGCAGCUAUGCCUAUAUGUAAAACGACUAUUAAUUUACAACAUAGCAAUAUUUUAUGCUGUUUAAUGGUAAUUUUAGCAUAUUUGUUUUUUAAAUACAUGUUUUUUAAAUACAU
rnacentral:tRNA from 1 species